GUCUGCAACUCGACUCCAUGAAGCUGGAUUCGCUAGUAAUCGCGCAUCAGCCAUGGCGCGGUGAAUACGUUCCCGGGCCUUGUACACACCGCCCGUCAAGCCAUGGGAGUCGGGAGUGCCUGAAGUUCGUGACCGUCACAGGAGCGACCUAAGGCAAGACCGAUGACUGGGGCUAAGUCGUAACAAGGUAGC
rnacentral:rRNA from 1 species